UACGGGGGGGGCAAGCGUUGUUCGGAAUUACUGGGCGUAAAGGGCGCGUAGGCGGUUGGAUAAGUCAGCUGUGAAAACCACGGGCUUAACUCGUGGCCUGCAGUUGAGACUGUCUGGCUUGAGUGUGGGAGAGGAGAGUGGAAUUCCUGGUGUAGCGGUGGAAUGCGUAGAGAUCCGGAAGAACACCGGUGGCGAAGGCGGCCUGCUGGGCAGUAGCUGACGCUGAUGCGCGACAGCGUGGGGAGCAAACAGG
rnacentral:rRNA from 1 species